GCGGCCGUAGUCUAGCCUGGUCUAGGAUGGCGGCCUUCCGAGCCGCAGAACCCGGGUUCGAAUCCCGGCGGCCGCACCA
rnacentral:tRNA from 5 species